rnacentral:rRNA from 1 species
AUUGAACGCUGGCGGAAUGCUUUACACAUGCAAGUCGAACGGUAGAGGGGGCAACCCCUUGAGAGUGGCGAACGGGUGAGUAAUAUAUCGGAACGUGCCCAGUCGUGGGGGAUAACGUAGCGAAAGUUACGCUAAUACCGCAUACGAUCUAAGGAUGAAAGCGGGGGACCGUAAGGCCUCGCGCGAUUGGAGCGGCCGAUAUCAGAUUAGGUAGUUGGUGGGGUAAAGGCUCACCAAGCCAACGAUCUGUAGCUGGUCUGAGAGGACGACCAGCCACACUGGAACUGAGACACGGCCCAGACUCCUACGGGAGGCAGCAGUGGGGAAUUUUGGACAAUGGGGGCAACCCUGAUCCAGCCAUCCCGCGUGUGCGAUGAAGGCCUUCGGGUUGUAAAGCACUUUGGCAGGAAGAAAUACGCAUGGGUUAAUAACCUAGUGUGGAUGACGGUACCUGCAGAAUAAGCACCGGCUAACUACGUAGCCAGCAGCCGC